AUACUUACCGCCAGGGAAGAUAUCAUGAUCACUAAGGUGGUUUUCCCAAGCAGAGGCUUAUCCAUUUCACUCCACAUGUGCAGACCCCUGCGAUUUCCCCAAGCAUGGGAAACUUGACUGAAUAAUUUGUGGUAGUGGAGAGACUGCGUUUGUGCUCUCCCCUA
rnacentral:snRNA from 1 species